GUGACAGGGGCAGGGUCACAGAGUCUGGCGGAGUGGAAACAGCUUGGCCCCGGCAGGAGGCUAGAAGGGCUGGAAUCUGUUUUAGGACUGGGAUUGGAGUAUAACGGGGGAACGGUUAAGGAGCUGUGGAGGAGGCCUAGAGGGAAUGGAGAGAAUGAGGGAGAAUCUAGGGAGUGUGAGGAUGCGGGAGAACUAUCUAAAAGUUGGGGACAGUAUCUGGGGAGGAUCAGAAGGAUACAACAUGGAACUUUUUUCCAUGGUGUUCCUGGGAAGGACAAGGAAGGGAAACUGACAUUUAUUGAGCGUUUGCUAUGUAAGAAAGAGGCUGAGUCAGGUGUUUUCUAAAAAUGUCAUAUGGUUUCAUAAUCACAGCAACCCUAUGAAAUAUUAUUCUAGUUGCACAGAUACGGGAGCUAAGACUUGUUUCCCAUUCUCACAAGUGUUAGCUUUGUGGAAAUGGGAAACAGACCUCUGGAAUCUCUUAUACUUAGCCCAGCGGUGGGUUGGAGAUGGCACGGAAUUAAAGAUUUGGGAAGAGACUGAAUCACCGUCACACUCCUCACUUUUGUGCUAUAGUGGAUCAAUCUUCCUGUCCUACAACUGACAAAGGAUCCCCUAAAGACCCCUGGAAGGCUGGACCAUGGCACAAGAACUGCCUUCAUCCAUCACCGGGAGCAAGUGUGGAAGAGAUGCAUCAACAUUUGGCGUGAUGUGGGCCUUUUUGGGGUGCUAAAUGAAAUUGCAAACUCAGAAGAAGAGGUGUUUGAGUGGGUGAAGACGGCAUCCGGCUGGGCCCUGGCACUCUGUCGAUGGGCCUCUUCCCUCCAUGGGUCCCUGUUCCCCCAUCUGUCUCUCAGGAGCGAAGAUCUGAUCGCUGAAUUUGCCCAAGUCACAAAUUGGUCCAGCUGCUGCUUGCGUGUCUUUGCAUGGCACCCCCACACCAACAAGUUUGCAGUGGCCCUGCUAGAUGACUCAGUCCGUGUGUAUAAUGCCAGCAGCACCAUAGUCCCCUCCCUGAAGCACCGGCUGCAGCGAAAUGUGGCGUCUCUGGCCUGGAAGCCCCUUAGUGCCUCUGUCUUGGCUGUGGCCUGCCAGAGCUGCAUUCUUAUCUGGACCCUGGACCCUACCUCCUUGUCUACCCGACCCUCUUCUGGCUGUGCCCAAGUGCUGUCUCACCCUGGGCAUACACCUGUUACCAGCUUGGCCUGGGCCCCCAGUGGGGGGCGGCUGCUCUCAGCUUCACCCGUGGAUGCUGCUAUCCGGGUAUGGGAUGUCUCAACAGAGACCUGUGUCCCCCUUCCCUGGUUCCGAGGAGGUGGGGUGACCAACCUGCUCUGGUCCCCAGACGGCAGCAAAAUCCUGGCUACCACUCCUUCAGCUGUCUUUCGAGUCUGGGAGGCCCAGAUGUGGACUUGUGAGAGGUGGCCUACUCUAUCAGGGCGCUGUCAGACAUACCUUCUCCUGCCUUUUGCUCCCUGACCCCAGACUGGCUGCUGGAGCCCAGAUGGCAGCCGACUGCUGUUCACUGUAUUGGGAGAGCCACUGAUUUACUCCCUGUCUUUUCCAGAACGUUGUGGUGAGGGAAAGGGGUGCGUUGGAGGUGCAAAGUCAGCAACGAUUGUGGCAGAUCUGUCUGAGACAACAAUACAGACACCAGAUGGUGAGGAGAGGCUUGGGGGAGAGGCUCACUCCAUGGUCUGGGACCCCAGUGGGGAACGUCUGGCUGUGCUUAUGAAAGGAAAGCCAAGGGUACAGGAUGGUAAACCAGUCAUCCUCCUUUUUCGCACUCGAAACAGCCCUGUGUUUGAGCUCCUUCCCUGUGGCAUUAUCCAGGGGGAGCCAGGAGCCCAGCCCCAGCUCAUCACUUUCCAUCCUUCCUUCAACAAAGGGGCCCUGCUCAGUGUGGGCUGGUCCACAGGCCGAAUUGCCCACAUCCCGCUGUACUUUGUCAAUGCCCAGUUUCCACGUUUUAGCCCAGUGCUUGGGCGGGCCCAGGAACCCCCUGCUGGGGGUGGAGGCUCUAUUCAUGACCUGCCCCUCUUUACUGAGACAUCCCCAACCUCUGCCCCUUGGGACCCUCUCCCAGGGCCACCACCUGUUC
rnacentral:misc_RNA from 1 species